rnacentral:tRNA from 1 species
GGAGAGGUGGCAGAGCGGCUGAAUGCGCUAGAUUGCUAAUCUGGUGACUCCUGCAUUUGGGGUCCGCGGGUUCGAAUCCCGCCCUCUCCGCCA